UUAUUUGGUGUUGUCUGCAUGAUAUCAGACGCUGCAUUGACUUUCACUGAUGGUUCUGGAAUUCUCAGCUUGUCCAAAAAUGCAUGUGUAAUGACUAUACCCACUAAACAUUAGACGUCUUAUGGACGUGCAGAUCAUGUCUAUAUUGCGUCGGUCGGUCCAAGACCAAUUCUGUACGUCUACACGACGUGCAAACUAGGUCCGCUAUUUGGACGUCUAACUAUGACCCCACUUGGACGUCAAUAUGCAGUUAAACAUUUGAACGUCGGACUAGGUCACUUUUUUGGACGUCAUGGGGACGUCUAAUACAGGUGCAGGAAAUUAACAUUAUUUAAGAAUAUAUUUAUUUUUAAAUGUAUGUCAAAAUUGUUGUUAUCAAUAUUGUUAAUCACUAUGAAUAUAGAUUAUUUAUGAUUAAGCAUCAUUUAUUUCUAAUUAUUUAUUUGAGUAUUAUAUUUUUUAUCUAUUUAAUUAAUUAACGAAUGUAGGUAUUUAUUUACGUAUGUUUUUAUUUUUAUUUGGAAAUGCAAUUUAUGUGGAAAAUUGUUAAGUUGAUUUCAACCAGUCAACGCCACUCUGAUUUGCUGAGACCGCACGUCAUCAUAAACUCCACUCUGAUAUGCCGAGGCAAAACACGCUCAACAUUUUUUGGCUGCUGCAGUAGCUCAGCUCAGCUCAGCUCAUUCAGUUCAGCUCGCUCAGCUCAGCUCCGCUCCGGACCGGACUCAGCUGCCAAGCUAUAAGAUGGAGUCAUGAAAUGUGACGGGACAGCCACCGAGGACUUCAUACUUCGGAGCAUCUCAAACAUGCACCACAAAGACGUGGAGGACACACCGCUGUCUCUCAGGACCUAGAAUCUUAAUGAAAGUAUAAUGAUGUUAAGGGAAGGUGUAGUGGAAAGGUGUGAUAGUGUUGAGGGAAGGUGUAAUGUUAAAGGUGUGAUAGUGUUGAGGGAAGGUGUAAUAGUGUUGAGGGAAGGGGUAAUGUUAAAGGUGUAAUAGUGUUAAGGGAAGGUAUAAUAUUGUUAAGGGAAGGUGUAAUAGUUUUGAGGGAAGGUGUAAUAGUGUUGAGGGAAGGUGUAAUGUUAAAGGUGUAAUAGUGUUAAGGGAAGGUAUAAUAUUGUUAAGGGAAGGUGUAAUAGUGUUGAGGGAAGGUAUAAUAUUGUUAAGGGAAGGUGUAAUGUAAAGCUGUAAUAGUUUUAAGGGAAGGUAAAUGUUUAGUGAAAUUGUUAUGGUGUGAAUCUAAGGUGUAUGUUAUGUUGAUGUAAAAUAAAGGCAUUAACCCCAAAUGAGAUUUACUCAUUAUUUUUAUUAUUAUAUUAAUGUUUCCCCAAACAGAAAGGGUCAAUUUAAAAUCAACAGUGGUAAGAUGGGGGUAAUUAAUUUAUCCUUUGCUUUUACUGGUUCUUUGCAGGUUGACAUGUUUUGGAAAAAGUGAGAGGGUUGAAAUGCAAUUUAUUUGUAAAGCAUAUUGUGUAUAACUAACGUGCAUAACUAGUUCCAGAAGGUUGUGAACCUGUUCCAGUAAUUGUUUGGCUUAGCUUUGUAUGCGUUUCCAGUGAUCUGCUGAAGCUGGAACAAUGGAACAGUUGCCACCGUCUGAAAUGGCACUACAGUUAUGCAGGGAGCCUCAAAGUAGCUGGUCUAUAAAAACGAAUACAUGUAAAUUUCACGUAGAAAAGACGUCCACAACGACUUAAUUUAAACUAGAAUUAGCCCUUAUCCGGAGGUCUGGGGGACGUCAAUACUGGACGUGCAGAAGACGUCAGAAAAAAGACGUCGUCUGGCGUCACAGUCUGCACCUUCAGGAGACCAAAAUUGGACGUGCAAAAAUGACCUAGAAAAGACGUCGUUUCAACGUCUCUUUGUUUAGUGGGUAUGUU